UACGUAGGGGGCAAGCGUUGUCCGGAAUCAUUGGGCGUAAAGCGCGUGUAGGCGGUCCGGUAAGUCCGCUGUGAAAGUCGGGGGCUUAACCCUCGGAUGCCGGUGGAUACUGUCGGGCUUGAGUACGGAAGAGGCGAGUGGAAUUCCUGGUGUAGCGGUGAAAUGCGCAGAUAUCAGGAAGAACACCAAUGGCGAAAGCAGCUCUCUGGGACGGUACUGACGCUGAGACGCGAAAGCGUGGGGAGCGAACAGG
rnacentral:rRNA from 1 species